GAUGAAGAACGCAGCGAAAUGCGAUAAGUAAUGUGAAUUGCAGAAUUCAGUGAAUCAUCGAAUCUUUGAACGCACAUUGCGCCCGCCAGUAUUCUGGCGGGCAUGCCUGUUCGAGCGUCAUUACAACCCUCAGGCCCCCGGGCCUGGCGUUGGGGAUCGGCGGAGCCCCCCGUGGGCACACGCCGUCCCCCAAAUACAGUGGCGGUCCCGCCGCAGCUUCCAUCGCGUAGUAGCUAACACCUCGCGACUGGAGAGCGGCGCGGCCACGCCGUAAAACACCCAACUCUUCUGAAGUUGACCUCGAAUCAGGUAGGAAUACCCGCUGAACUUAAGCAUAUCAAUAAGCUGAGGA
rnacentral:misc_RNA from 1 species